CCUACGUGGGGCUGCAGUGGGGAAUAUUGGACAAUGGGCGAAAGCCUGAUCCAGCCAUGCCGCGUGUGUGAAGAAGGCCUUCGGGUUGUAAAGCACUUUCAGUGGGGAAGAAAGCCUUGGGGCUAAUACCCUCGAGGAAGGACAUCACCCACAGAAGAAGCACCGGCUAACUCCGUGCCAGCAGCCGCGGUAAUACGGAGGGUGCGAGCGUUAAUCGGAAUUACUGGGCGUAAAGCGCGCGUAGGCGGUCUGAUAAGCCGGUUGUGAAAGCCCCGGGCUCAACCUGGGAACGGCAUCCGGAACUGUCAGGCUAGAGUGCAGGAGAGGAAGGUAGAAUUCCCGGUGUAGCGGUGAAAUGCGUAGAGAUCGGGAGGAAUACCAGUGGCGAAGGCGGCCUUCUGGACUGACACUGACGCUGAGGUGCGAAAGCGUGGGUAGCAAACAGGAUUAGAUACCCGGGUAGUC
rnacentral:rRNA from 1 species